ACUGCAAAUCCAUUGUAUUCGUAGAAGCCUUUCCUGCUGCAAACUUUGCCGAAGGCCGAAGCCGUUCCGCGCAAAUCUCUGGUGUGAAAUCGCCGAAGACAUAAAUCUCCCGUUGUUUUUUAGCUGCUUCUUCCCGCCUCCUCCACCAACAGCAGAUCUUCGUCUCCUUAGCAGCGCACACUUGGGUCUUUGCCGUCAAAGUCGCUUGUCACCAUCAACGUUGCCAGUCACCGUCGCCUGGGAAUGCUGUGCUACAGAUUGAAAGACCUCUGCAAAGACAUGGUGAUAGGCUUGAACAAUAGUGUGGACGUGUGGUUGACAUCAGUUAAAAUCACUAUAACAUGAGCUUGGAUGCAAAAAUGGUUUGCUUAAAGCUAAGAAGUUAGCAGAGGUCACUGCUUGUUUUGGAAAACUAAAUAAAUGCUCUGGGAAAACAACAAAAGAAAGCAAAUUGAUGUGUAUUCUUAAAGAUUGCCUGAGUGGUAAUUCUCAUACUAUAAUGAUCAUCACCAUAUCUCCAGCAGAUAGUCAGUAUCACCAUACUGUUAACACUUUGAAGUAUGCUCACUGAACAAAGGAAAUUAAGGCACAUACAUAUUCAGUGUAUUAGGCUCACCAACAAUGAUGGAAUGGUCUGACGGACUUCAACUUGCCAGUUCUACUGGCUACCAGUUUUCCACAGUGUUGAUACCAUCUGCUAGUGAGGACACUAUUAAUCUUAUUACAUCACUUUGCUCAUGGGAUCCCUACAAGAGGCCAACUGUUGUGGAGGUCCUUCAGCAAUCAUCAUCCUUUCUUUCAGAGUUGCUUCUAUGUUCCACAUCUCUGCGGUCUGGUGUAGCCUUCGCAAGAACCACCCAAUCUGGUUGGAGUCUUGUUAUCGGAACACUUCUUCCAUCUGAUCUUUUGUUUCUUAGAUAAUUGCCAAUUACAUAUUAACCUGUGAUUUUCAGAGGAGACUAAUGAGAUUGAGAAUGAUUAGAAAAGAAUUGCUCAAUGCUAAUGACAAGAUUUAGAUGAUACUCUGUAUCCCCUGAGUGCUGGUUUGGUUGUAGCCUGUGGCAAUAACAUUGGAGAUUACAUGGUUGAAAAGUUGGGCAUAGAUCCUGCCAAAAUCCCUAACUUGUGUAAUCUGCUGUACAAGAAUUAUGAGACUAUCUCCGGUUCAUAUUCAAUAGAAAAGAAAUGAAAUGAACCUUAGUUUGGCAGGCAAUUGGCUAUAAUUUUGACUAAUGAAUAUCAUAAAUAAGGAUUUUAAUUUCUUUAUUGUUUCAUCAGUUGAUAUGGUAUACUGUUUUAAAGAUCUUGAUUGGUUGUUGUGUAGUUAGGGCAUUAGAUGUAUAUUAUGAACAAGAACGGAGAGCAGUGAAAUGG